UACGAUCACAUUAUGUUGAAACACCGUAUCCCGUACGAUCACCUAAGUUAAGCAACGUAGCGCCUGGUCAGAACCUAGAUGAGUGAACACUUGGGAAUACCAUGG